CCGGCGUACCGGCGCACGGGUGAGUAACGCGUAUGCAACUUUACCUAGUCAGAGGGGGAUAACCCGGCGAAAGUCGGACUAAUACCGCAUGAAGCAGGGGCCCCGCAUGGGGAUAUUUGCUAAAGAUUCAUCGCUGAUAGAUAGGCAUGCGUUCCAUUAGGCAGUUGGCGGGGGUAACGGCCCACCAAACCGACGAUGGAUAGGGGUUCUGAGAGGAAGGUCCCCCACAUUGGUACUGAGACACGGACCAAACUCCUACGGGAGGCAGCAG
rnacentral:rRNA from 1 species